rnacentral:pre_miRNA from 1 species
GCUUUAACAUGGGGGUACCUGCUACGUAAUAAAAAAGUAAGUGCUUCCAUGUUUCAGUGG